rnacentral:rRNA from 1 species
UACGUAGGGGGCAAGCGUUGUCCGGAAUCAUUGGGCGUAAAGCGCGCGUAGGCGGCCCUGUAAGUCCGUUGUGAAAGUCAAAGGCUCAACCUUUGAAAGCCGAUGGAUACUGCAGGGCUAGAGUCCGGAAGAGGCGAGUGGAAUUCCUGGUGUAGCGGUGGAAUGCGCAGAUAUCAGGAGGAACACCAAUAGCGAAGGCAGCUCGCUGGGACGGUACUGACGCUAAGGCGCGAAAGCGUGGGAAGCGAACAGG